GCAUAUAAUUAGGACAUGUAAGCGACUAAACUCAUUCUAAAAGUGUUUGAGGCAAAACUAAUUUAAUUCAAUAAUAAACAUGAAGGUUUUGGCUGUUGCUCUUUUUGUCGCCCUCGUGUGCAUCACACUGGCUUCACCUAUUGAUGAAGAUUUAGACAAUCCACAACUGUCUGUAGAAGGCAUGGAACCAAUGGAGAUGUUAAAUGGCGCUCGUCAACGGAUCUGCACGGCUGCGUUGUGUCAAUCUGUGUGCAGGAGUCUGGGAUGGCGCACAGGCAGCUGCAACGCGCAGCUAUUGUGCAUAUGUCGACGUUAACCGUUGUAAUUCUUAAUGUAACUUUAGUUUACUGCUAAUUUUAAGGUAUUAAUAAAUCAUUAGGCUUA